UACGGAGGAUGCAAGCGUUAUCCGGAAUGAUUGGGCGUAAAGCGUUUUUAGGUGGUUUGGUAAGUCUACUGUUAAAUAUCAGGGCUUAACCCUGAACAGGCAGUGGAAACUAGCAAGCUUGAGUACGGUAGGGGCAAAGGGAAUUCCCGGUGUAGCGGUGAAAUGCGUAGAUAUCGGGAAGAACACCAGAGGCGAAGGCGCUUUGCUGGGCAGAAACUGACACUGAUAGACGAAAGCUAGGGGAGCAAAUGGG
rnacentral:rRNA from 1 species